rnacentral:rRNA from 1 species
AGUGAACGCUGGCGGUAGGCCUAACACAUGCAAGUCGAACGGCAGCACAGUAAGAGCUUGCUCUUACGGGUGGCGAGUGGCGGACGGGUGAGGAAUACAUCGGAAUCUACUUUUUCGUGGGGGAUAACGUAGGGAAACUUACGCUAAUACCGCAUACGACCUACGGGUGAAAUCAGGGGAUCUUCGGCCCUUGCGCGUUUGAAUGAGCCGAUGUCGGAUUAGCUAGUUGGCGGGGUAAAGGCCCACCAAGGCGACGAUCCGUAGCUGGUCUGAGAGGAUGAGCAGCCACACUGGAACUGAGACACGGUCCAGACUCCUACGGGAGGCAGCAGUGGGGAAUAUUGGACAAUGGGCGCAAGCCUGAUCCAGCCAUACCGCGUGGGUGAAGAAGGCCUUCGGGUUGUAAAGCCCUUUUGUUGGGAAAGAAAAGCAGCAGGUUAAUACCCCGCUGUUCUGACGGUACCCAAAGAAUAAGCACCGGCUAACUUCGUG